GCUGCAUCGGGCAGCAGAGAGAGGAAUUCCUAGCGUGGUUCGCCUGUGUUACCAUCUCGGAGGUCCUGUCCGGACCUUCGAGUGGCUCUGCUGAGAGAACUGGAAGAUUUCUGAUUGUAGCCCGAUAAGGAAAUAGCUGCCACUUAGAAGAUGUAACCGCUUUCAUUCGAGUAUUUUACCUAUCCCCGAAAUGCAAAUUUAUCCCUAAUUUCAAUAGUGAGUGGGCUGCUUCGUCAGAGAGGCCAAGGAAGGGCUGACUAAUAAAUAUACCCCAGAGAUAAAUUAUCCCCUCGAAUGAGGUUAUCAGCACUUAAAUUGUAGGAGCACUUUCGAGACAUGAAAAUAUAGGUAUGUGACAGAUAGAUAAUUGAUUAAAGCAGAGAAAAAAACAACACACACCACGAAACCGACGCAGAAGUGUUAUCCGUAGGUUACGACAGAAGCGCUAACUAUCUCCACGUUGGAAGAGAUGGCAAUUUGUCUUAGAAAAAUUCAACACUACGAAAAAAAAAAAAAAUUCCCCUGCAGUUGCUGUCGCUCGGAAUCGAUAGGAUAGCAGAAAAUGCCUGAUGCCUGUCACCGACGAACAGUGCUGCGGACCGCGACUGAAUCUGAAGGAAAUCAGAUGUGCGAGAGUGGUCGCAACGUGCUAAGCUAGAGGAGCUCGCCGGAGUUUAAACGCCGUCGCGAUGGGGAUGAGCUCGGUAGGGCGAGGAAGGAAGGAAACGGAGCCGAGCUGUCCGAGGGCGCGCCGGCAGCCUCCCCGCACCGACGGCACCUCCCGCGGCCCCGCGGCGCGCUCCCGCCGCCCUCCCCGGCCCACCCGCGGCACGGCCACGGCCACCGGUGCCCCAGCCCCGGCGGGGCCGGCGGGAGCAGCAGGAGAGAAACUAGAAAUUGCAUGGAGGAAGACCAGCUACCGAAAAACACUGGUGAAAAGGGAAAGAAAUACUUGGAUGGGAGAGAGGACACCAAAAGCAUGGACAGAGUUGGGAGCAAAUAACAGAAGAGAAAUGCUAAAUAGGAAGCUGACCGUGAAGAUCAUUCCCAGGAAACUUUGCUUAAAUAUUGAAAACAAAGAUGGAAAAUAUAAUACUGGAAAAAAAACUCCAACAUAUGAAUAGUAUGGUACUCCAAAAGUAACCUGCUGCUCUCUGCAAGGAGGCGAAUACUCAGCUGAAGGAUGGUGGGACUUUCACUCCUGCACCUUGUAAGACCCCUCUCAGCCACAGUUAACUUUCUUCUGCCUCUGCUAGGACUGUGGGUCAAAUCCAAAGAAGACAAAAUGCAAUGAACUGUUCUCUGGAGAUUUAAGGGCCAACUAUCAAGCACUGGACAAAAUUGUAAGCUGAGUAUUCUCUGCUAUAUGGAUAUCUAAGAGAAAUAUUUCAUGACAUUUCUGAGGAAAUAGGAAUUUUUCAGUUAUUUAUCUCCCAUGGAACCAAGACUUGGAGCAAAUUAAAUGCUACUUCUAUUCCCAAAAUUUAGGGCUCUAAGUUAAAUGAGCUCUUGAUCUGUGUUGCAGAAACCUUUGGUGACAAGGUUAAAAAACAAGGUUAAAAAUUUAAAAAGCCAUCAGAUAUGCCUGCUCCAUGACCCUACAGGAAUUGCAGUCAUUAGUCAUGUUGGACCAUGAAUCAUACAGAAGUCAUAUACCCAUAGAAAUACCACCAGGUAUCUUUACUGACAAUACCAUCCCAUGAGGACUACAGAUAGGCAUUUAGGUAGUUUAUCAAAGCCUAUGAGUAUGACAGGAUUGUUGUUGAACUCCCUACCAAUAACCAAAUACAUUUGGACUUUAGAAAGCAUGCUGAAUUCAUUAACAGGCAGUUAAUUAAUAGCAGUGGUGAGUUUGUGGAACAGCUACUGAUGUUUAAUAAGCUUUUUGUCUCUGACAGUUAUGGUAGCAUGUAUUAGCAGAGCCAUGAUAUAUCAGAUUCAGGUAGCAGGGUAUUACACAUAUUUCUUACUAAAUGGCUACUGUUGAAAUGGAAUCUAUCUUCAUUAAGCAAAAACACACCUGUUCUUUCAAUGCCCAUUGCAGGAUUAACAUUUACCACUGUUUUUUUCUGAUGUGUGCUGUAAAGAAAUGUAUGCUUUAGUACAUAAGAGGUCCAAAAGGCUAAAACAAGCUAUGGUCUAUGGAGAAGCUAGAGAGGGAAUUGCAUUUAGUACCAGACAACAGAAAAGUCAAUCGGGUCAAACUACUCUUCGUGUUAUUCACAGGCAGCUGGGUAACCACUUGUACUUUAGUCAUGUCCCUUCUCCCUCCCCACUCCUAAAACUUCAUUAUAACCAAGCCUUUAAGAGCAUUCCACCUCCCCACUUGAAAGAACAUGCACCUGCAUCAGGGUAUAGGUUUAACUUUCUAUGGGUAUUCAACAUGGAUUCUGAGCUGUUCUCAAGAAAGGACAGGUGCACAAAUAUGCACGUGCAAACACGCUGGGAAGCAGAAGGAAAAACUGUACAUCAUUAUUCAUCUCCCUUCUAUCUGGACUCAUGGGAAGAUGACAAGGAUUCAGAUCUUACAAUUUCAAUUAUUUAUUUCUGCUACUCACAUACAAUCUAAAUUCUAGGUGCUUCCUUCAACCAUGUUUUCUUCCUAAAGAAGUUUUUGGCAAUUAUAUUAUUUUUAUAAUUUAAUUCUUCUGAAGAAUGAAUGAAGUUUAAAUGUGCAACUUAACUUACGGUUGAGGAAUGUUAACAAAUUACAGAGUUGUUGGCUGGAUUAAUUAUUCUCCUUUUCAAGCUGCCUUCACAAAACUGCUUGACUCUGUGCAUAUUUAUAUACAUUUUCAUGCAAAAUGACAAUGGCUUCUAGGUUUUUGUAGAUCAACACAAAGCCAGGAAUUUUAUUUUGGCCUCAUAUUUGGUGCUGAUCUCUCUUUCUCUUCAAUUUUGUCUCUGUUUAACAAGAGAACUAAAACUUUUCCUUAUAUCAUUGUAUAAGCUAAAGGGUAGUUUCAUUUGCAACAAAAUUAUUAAGGGCAGAUAAAGGAGAGGGAGGGUGGCAAUUGUGAAGAACAAAAAAGGUUCACUAGAAAAUCUUUGAACCAAAAGGUGAUCUGCAUUAUCAAAGUCCCUGAGAACUCCGCUUUAUGGUUUAAUAUAUAUAACAAAAUUUAUAUAUAUAUAAAUAUCUAUCUUCCAGGCUUUUGUGAGUCUCAAUGCAACCUUAACAGUAAUACAGUUUUAUGUUUUAAUUUCCUUAAAGGAAAGUCUUCUUUGGAACCCAUGAAUGUUUCAGUGUUUUGGAAAUAUCUAAAUAGCUGUUAAAUAUCUAUAGAGACCUAUGAUUUUUUUUUAUCCCCUCAGCAAAUGUUUCAUGCAUUAUUUUGAGAAAAGGGACUAUAUGUACUGUAAAUAAUACAGAAAAAUACGUAUCUAUGCAUUAUCUGAUAAGCUGAAAUAGUUCUGUCUGUUAGUUAAUUAUCCAAAUACUAAAGAAAAGUUAGGCUAAUGAUUUCCAGACAGUUGUUAUGCCAUAUCAUGUUAAAGCAGCUGUUAACCAUAUGCACUACUGUAGCUCUGCUUAUAUUAACCAUUAUGAAAUUUUCCUUGGGGAAAAGUGCUCACGUGCUUGCAGAGAACCUCUUUGCCCUCUUUUAAAUGAAAUAAGUUGGUUAUUCUUAGAGCAUGGUGAAUAAUUUGUAACAAAUCAUUCGGUGAUUUUCUCCUGCUUGUGAAUAGAGAUUAUGUUUUUCCAAAGCCACCAUGCACCUAAGGAACUGAAGUCUCACAAGUGGUUUGAGACAUGUCUGUGGCUUGCAAUGGAGCAGUGGGGAGCACUGGGAGAGCUCUCUCCAGGACUGGCACUGGUGUAAUUGCACCAGUGCAGCGCUGAGCUCUGCUGUCUGCAUGGCUUUGGGAUGCAAGGCCACAUCUCCUACCAGCACGACACUGUGUUGCACCAGCCUGUCAGCUCAUCUGAUGGCAAUCCUUGACACUACUACACCGGUCUUUUGCACAGGGAGACAGCCUUGUAGUGGGAUAGGAUUUCAUCUGAAUUUGAGAGAGAGAGAGAGAGAGAGAGAGAGAGAGAGAGAGAGAGAGGGAUCUGUGAAUUCCUAGGGGCUUAUGGCAGCAAAUAUUAUAGUGAAAACCACCAGAGAAACAAGAUUUAUGGACAGAGGUAGUCUCUUUUAUUAGGCUGACUAAUAUAGUUGGAAAAAACAGACAAGGCUUUGGGUCAAAAACACUUUUACAGGUCCAAGAUAGAAGCAUAUCUUGAGGACAGCUUGUGUGCAUGGCAGCUUGGCAGCUUUUUUUUUUUUUUCUUCCAGUUAGAACAGCUACAGCAUGAGGCAUUGUGCUUUAAUCAUAAACAUUGCUUGACUUUUCUUAAAUUAUAAAAAUGAUAAGAUGACAUACACCUAUCACCAGUUUAAUGAGUAUCUACCAUCAUUCUCAUCAA